rnacentral:lncRNA from 1 species
GUGGGCGGUUUGUAUCAAAACUCAGUGUUGACACCUCCUCUAUUGAAGUACAUGGCUGAAAGUCGAUCUUUGUAUUCUUGGCAACGAUCAAGUUUUUGAGAUCGUUGAUGGCUUUGGUGACAUUCUGUACCUCAUGAGUCUCAAGUUGAUCAUCCAAACAUCGGUAGAUUCCCUUUCUACUAGCUCCGUAUCCAUCUGCUCCUUUUGCGUACGGGUUUGCACCAU